GUCAACGUUAUCACAGCAUUGAUAUUGUAAUACAGUGAUUAAUAAUGAUUAUCAACCCGAUGAACGUAAUUAAUUUGUUAUUAGCAACAUUUCAAACAAUGUACCUAAUGGAUACUCCUAUAACAAGAGAAAUCGCCAUUGGACUUUUUGGAUCAAUUUAAAGAAUGUGAGGUUGAGGCUGUUGAAGAAGAUGAUGCAGACGAAAAUUGGUCUGGAGAGACAUAUAUUGGAGUUUGUUCACAGCGUGAUGAAGACGUUGAUGUUGAUUACAAGCGGAAAGCAGUUGCAUUUUGCACAGAG